rnacentral:lncRNA from 1 species
AUGGAGAUGUGAUUGGGUAUAUAUGAGACUUAGACACUAGUAAUAAUAACUAGGCUUAACCAUUUUGGGCUGGUGGUUGAGCCCAACGAGUUAUUAUUGCUAGUGGGCUGGGUCGUUUACAGGCUGGUAUACUAUUGGUAGCAUGGAGGCCUCCGUACUACUAAGCUGUUUUCAAUGAUGCGGCUUUCAAAUCGACGAUCGGCUCUAUUAGACUUGAUCUACACUAUUAAAAUUAUUUGUAACUAAAUUUUAUAAUUUUUCGACAUCAUUUGGCUAGUGAUCAAAAGGUCUCAAAAUUGACAAUUUUAAUGGUCGAUGUGAUCGUUUGUGAAUUUAACGGUAUAAAAUAAUUCAAAUUUGAUGAAAUUUUUAUAGAAAAUUUUUUUCACUAUUUUGAGUAA